AGAACGAACGCUGGCGGCAUGCCUAAUACAUGCAAGUCGAACGAACUCUUCGGAGUUAGUGGCGCACGGGUGCGUAACGCGUGGGAAUCUGCCCCUUGGUUCGGAAUAACAGUUGGAAACGACUGCUAAUACCGGAUGAUGACGAAAGUCCAAAGAUUUAUCGCCAAGGGAUGAGCCCGCGUAGGAUUAGCUAGUUGGUGAGGUAAAGGCUCACCAAGGCAACGAUCCUUAGCUGGUCUGAGAGGAUGAUCAGCCACACUGGGACUGAGACACGGCCCAGACUCCUACGGGAGGCAGCAGUGGGGAAUAUUGCACAAUGGGCGCAAGCCUGAUGCAGCAACGCCGCGUGAGGACGACGGCCUCGGUGUAAC
rnacentral:rRNA from 1 species